GCUACGGGAGGCUGCAGUGGGGAAUAUUGGGCAAUGGGCGCAAGCCUGACCCAGCACCGCCGCGUGAAGGAAGAAGGCCCUCGGGUUGUAAACUUCUUUUGUCAGGGACGAAACAAAUGACGGUACCUGACGAAUAAGCCACGGCUAACUACGUGCCCGCAGCCGCGGUAUUACGUUGGUGGCAAGGGUUAUCCGGCUUUACUGGGUGUAAAGGGCGUGUAGGCGGGAGAGCAAGUCAGAUGUGAAAUUCCAGGGCUCAACCCUGGAACUGGAUUUGGAACUGUUUUUCUUGAGUGCUGGAGAGGCAGGCGGAAUUUCGUGUGUAGCGGUGAAAUGCGUAGAUAUACGGAGGAACACCAGUGGCGAGGGCGGCCUGCUGGACAUUAACUGACGCUGAGGCGCGAAAGCGUGGGGAGCAAACAGGAGUAGAUACCCCAGUAGUC
rnacentral:rRNA from 1 species